rfam:Schistosoma margrebowiei strain Zambia genome assembly, scaffold: SMRZ_scaffold0005553
AUCCAGCUGACGAGUCUCAAAUAGGAUGAAACGUGCGUCUUGAAU